rnacentral:sRNA from 12 species
UGGAGUUGCAGGUAGAUAUACGCUGUAUACCCGUGUAACCGAAUUUACGUUUAAGUGUCAUGUAAUGGCACCGGUCACGGGGCCGCCGUAAGGCGGUUUUUUAGUUA